rnacentral:rRNA from 1 species
AUUGAACGCUGGCGGCAGGCCUAACACAUGCAAGUCGAGCGGAUGAAGGGAGCUUGCUCCUGGAUUCAGCGGUGGACGGGUGAGUAAUGCCUAGGAAUCUGCCUGGUAGUGGGGGAUAACGUCCGGAAACGGGCGCUAAUACCGCAUACGUCCUGAGGGAGAAAGUGGGGGAUCUUCGGACCUCACGCUAUCAGAUGAGCCUAGGUCGGAUUAGCUAGUUGGUGGGGUAAAGGCCUACCAAGGCGACGAUCCGUAACUGGUCUGAGAGGAUGAUCAGUCACACUGGAACUGAGACACGGUCCAGAGUCCUACGGGAGGCAGCAGUGGGGAAUAUUGGACAAUGGGCGAAAGCCUGAUCCAGCCAUGCCGCGUGUGUGAAGAAGGUCUUCGGAGUGUAAAGCACUUUAAGUUGGGAGGAAGGGCAGUAAGUUAAUACCUUGCUGUUUUGACGUUACCAACAGAAUAAGCACCGGCUAACUUCGUG